ensembl:lncRNA
AUUUGAAUAAUAUCAGCACGUAGCAAUGAAUCAGGAAUAAUACUGCAUGACUCAAUUAAAUAUUUUGUGGUAUUUUGCAUUUUUACCACAGAGUGAUCACAGAGACUAGCUGCUGUUCAUUCGUGGUAAGUGUAGUAAGAUAGCAACAUGACUCCCGCUUCUGCCCCAGUCUUUCGCUGUUUUGGUAGGCUGUCAGUCUACUCUUAACUUAGCUAUCAAUAUGUAGCUUUAAGAAAUGUAAAACUUUGAGACUGAUAUGAGUCACCGACUCAGAGAAAUUAACCUCUCCCUCUGAUGAGCGAAUAUUGAGGUGGGUUGUUUAGGACAUUACUGUUACGGCUGGCUGCCGGCGAAGCUCAUGGGCGCGUCACUGCAACUCCCCCUGGCUUCUGCUCCGCGGCUGCUGAGUGAGCCCUCAUCUGGGACUCUCCUCAGCUCUUUCUGGGACAGUGGCGCGGCUGCCCCUCUGUUGGUCUUCCUUGGUCUCUUGUGUUCUGGGGGCCUCUGGAUGUCUGGAGUUUUGAUCUCCUCCAUACCUGCUUCAUGCCCUGGAGGAUGGGGCUGUGGCCCCCCCACACCCUCUAGCAGAUUAUUACAUGAAGGAACCUUUUAAAAAAAACAAAAAAAAAACAAGCGCGUCCAUGCUCACAGGUGUACACACGGGUGAUCACACCCACAAACUACACCCUUUUUGGCUCCUACCUCAAAGCACACUGUGUUCUGUUGAUCUUAUGUGCUGCACAAUAAUGUUUAAUAUUUAGUAUUUACUGUCAUAUUCCCAUAUAUCAUUGUGAUGUUGUUUAUUCUAUUACUCUUGUUCUCUUCUGCUUUUUUUCUUUUUUCUUUCUCAGCAGGUGAUCCAGGUGAUUGAUAUAUGCAUUUUUUUUCUCUGCCCGUUCUGUUGGUUUUUGUCUUUUGCCCUUCUCCCCCGUCCCUCUUCUCAGCUGUUUCUCUUUCCCUCUUUCUUUCUCCCCUUCUUUCCCCCAGUCAAGUCUGUCCCGUAUUCAGUAAGUGAAAAUAAAAUAAACAAUAAAAGGUGAAUCAAAUGGACCAUUACGGCAAGGCUGGGAUGGUCAAUUUGGUAAAGUAAAUCCGAUGGGCAUCUUUGUUUGCCUUUAGACAACAAUUCUGAUGGCAAAAGAGCCAAACGGGACAGGCAAAAAAAAAAAAAAAAAAGGACAUUACUGUUGGCUGCUGUUAGCCUCUGUUAGCCAUGGCUAACUGCUUUUAGAUGGCAUAAGUGAAACUUUCAUUAAACUGGAUAUAACAUUGUUGGACUUUGAUACUUAGUUAAUAAACUCUCAUAUGAUGUAAAAUAUAGUCAAGCUAUUUAGCAGAAGUAAAGUAUGAUUUUUAGGACGCUCAAGCCUAACAUUAACUGACAUAAUGUUAGC